GUAACUUCUCUGUUUUUCUUGUUGUAGACAUUUCAGCAUGCUUUGGCAUUGUUUCCGUCUUGCUGAGUGAAUGCCAAAGCAUAGCUCUCUGUAACUGUAAAUUCAGAAGCGUGCAUUUUUUCUUUAGUUUGUCAGCCUUCCAAGGCAGGCCAACAUUGCCGUUCACAGCAGCAAAGCUUACCGGGCAGUAGAGAGCAACUGUUUGUAGGGCUGGGAGUAGAACAGCAGCAGUUUAACUGCUGGAAAGAACAUCACCAGCUGGGCUCUGAACUUAAGGACUACUGUCUGGACAAAUGAGCUGCAAACACUUUUUAUGUGUGUUUGUAUCCAGCGGAAAAAUGAUAGAUAUUCCUUCAGUAUCCUCAUGAAAUACAGGAUACUUGAAGUGAACAGAGACCUGAAACAGAUAGAAGCAUCAGGACUUGAAGGAAGGUUUCUGAAGUUCUGUGUAAGGACUGGACACAUUUCCUUGAUUUAUUUUUGCUGAAGAAGCUCUCCAGAGGUAACAGCCCCUGCAGAGAGGCAGUGGCGAGAACUGGGCAGUGGGGAGCUGUUUCCAAGCCCGAUUGUGUCCGGACCCCAGCUGCGGGGAGGAAGGAAAAGAGAUGAGCGCGGAUGGCAGAGCUGGCGGGUGAGCAUUCACUGCUGAUCCUUGUAGGGAGGAGGAGAGGACAGGCAGGACUCUGGCUUUAAUGGGGUCCAGACUACACUGUGCUGUGUCUAAUGAUGCAGAAAGUUACUGAGUAAGUAAAGCUAAGUCUGUAAGCAUUGAAUCUGCCAGAAAAGACAAAGCAAGUGGGAAGCAGCUGGUCAAAUCUUUUUGGUUUUUUUUUUCCCUUUUCUUUCUUAGUAUACCUUGCUUUGAGUUGUAGGCACUUCAAAAGUUAAUUAUUUUAGCUCUCUUUACAAAGCUUGCUGAAAGAUGUUUAUAAUCAGAUCCAUUUCAAACCUUCAGCCAACUGAGGGCCAUGAUAA
rnacentral:lncRNA from 1 species